AGUGAACGCUGGCGGUAGGCCUAACACAUGCAAGUCGAACGGCAGCACAGUAAGAGCUUGCUCUUACGGGUGGCGAGUGGCGGACGGGUGAGGAAUACAUCGGAAUCUACUUUUUCGUGGGGGAUAACGUAGGGAAACUUACGCUAAUACCGCAUACGACCUACGGGUGAAAGCAGGGGAUCUUCGGACCUUGCGCGAUUGAAUGAGCCGAUGUCGGAUUAGCUAGUUGGCGGGGUAAAGGCCCACCAAGGCGACGAUCCGUAGCUGGUCUGAGAGGAUGGUCAGCCACACUGGAACUGAGACACGGUCCAGACUCCUACGAGAGGCAGCAGUGGGGAAUAUUGGACAAAGGGCGCAAGCCUGAUCCAGCCAUACCGCGUGGGUGAAGAAGGCCUUCGGGUUGUAAAGCCCUUUUGUUGGGAAAGAAAAGCAGCAGGUUAAUACCCCGCUGUUCUGACGGUACCCAAAGAAUAAGCACCGGCUAACUUCGUG
rnacentral:rRNA from 1 species